AUACGUAGGGAGCGAGCGUUGUCCGGAAUUACUGGGUGUAAAGGGAGCGUAGGCGGGACUGCAAGUCAGAUGUGAAAUACCGGGGCUUAACCCCGGAGCUGCAUUUGAAACUGUGGUUCUUGAGUGAAGUAGAGGCAAGCGGAAUUCCUGGUGUAGCGGUGAAAUGCGUAGAUAUCAGGAGGAACACCGGUGGCGAAGGCGGCUUACUGGGCAUUUACUGACGCUGAGGCUCGAAAGCGUGGGGAGCAAACAGGAUUAGAUACCCUGGUAGUCCACUCUGUAAACGAUGAUGACUAGGUGUUGGGGGACUGAACCCUUCCGUGCCGCAGUUAACACAAUAAGUCAUCCGCCUGGGGAGUACGACCGCAAGGUUGAAACUUAAAGGAAUUGACGGGG
rnacentral:rRNA from 1 species